rnacentral:lncRNA from 1 species
UCGAAUUUUUGGUUAGCUCUCGGGUAGACUUCAUUGGACUGUGUACCGGUACAGGGUUGAUGGCUGUACCGGUACAGGGUUGAUGGUUGUACAGGUACGGGUCGUGUACCGGUAUGCAGGCAGCUUCCCAGCCAACCCGAGGCUCGGGUUUGGCAAUUUCGUGGGAUGUGUACCGGUACGUGGGCCCGUGUACUGGUACGCAGUGACAAUUUUUGAAUGGUCGAAACUGUAGGGGUGUUUUUGCAAUGUGG